ACAUCAAUUCUCCUAUUUACUGUAUACAGGUAGUCCCCGAGUUACGAACGUCCGACUUACAGACAACUCGUACUUAUGAACCAAAGAGGAGAAUGUCCUCUUUUGGAAGAGGACAGCGAGGCUUUGAGAGGAAGUGCGGCGGCGGCCAUUUUCAAAUUGUCCAAUUGCGUCUCAGAUCGGAGUUCUGAGAGACGGGACUGCGCAGGCGCAUGAAGGAGGCCUGGGAAGGAGGGAAGAUAUAAAAAGAACACAGCCUUAAGAAGCGGGCAGCUUCGUUUGCGGGCAGCGGAGUGCGCUGGGAGCAGAGUGUAGGGCUUGGGCUCGGGGCUUAGGCGGAAGAGGGCACAGUAGGCUUAUCUUUUAGUUGUUAUUUUCAGUUAUUCGGGAAGUAUGAGUGUGAGGGCAGGUUGCUGUUCUCGGUGUCGGAUGUGGGAGGUCCUGGAGUCUCCGAGCUUCCCAGACGUUCACAUCUGCACCAGGUGCACCGAACUGCAGCUCCUGACGGACCGAGUUAGGGAACUGGAGCUGCAGCUCGAUGGCCUUCGCCUGGUCAGGGAGAGUGAGGAGGUGAUAGCGGGGAGUUGCAGGCAGGUGGUCACUCCGGGGCCACGGGAGGCAGAUAGGUGGGUCACGGUCAGGAAGGGGAAGAGGCAGGUACUAGAGAGUACCCCAGUGGCUGUACCCCUUGACAAUUAGUACUCAUGUUUGAGUACUGUUGGGUGGAACAGCCUACCUGGUGGAAGUGACAGUGGCCGGGCUUCUGGCACAGAGGACAACCCUGUAGCUCAGAAGGGUAGGGAUAGAAAAAAGAGGAUCAUAGUAAUAGGGGACUUGAUAGUCAGGGGUUCAGACAGGCGGUUCUGUGGAGGUGAUUGGGAGUGCCGGAUGGUAAUUUGCCUUCCUGGUGUCAGGGUUCGGGACGUUUCUGAUCGCGUCCAAGAUAUCCUGAAGUGGGAUGGUGAGGAGCCAGAGGUCGUGGUACAUGUGGGUACCAAUGACAUAGGUAGUAAAGGGGAAGAGGUCCUGAAAUGAGAGUACAGGGAGUUAGGAAGGCAGUUAAGAAGAAGGACUGCAAAGGUAGUAAUCUCGGGAUUACUGCCUGUGCCACGCGACAAUGAGAGUAGGAAUGGAAUUAGGUGGAGGAUGAAUGCGUGGCUGUGGGAUUGGAGCAGGGGGCAGGGAUUCAAGUUUCUGGAUCAUUGGGACCUAUUCUGGGGCAGGCGUGACCUGUUCAAGAAGGACAGGUUACACUUGAAUCCUGGGGGGACCAAUAUCCUAGCGGGGAGGUUUGCUAGGGCUACAGGGCAGACUUUAAACUAGUAAGAUGGGGGGGGAAUCAAUUUGAGGAAACUAUGGGAGAGGAAGUUAGUUCACCAGUAGAGCAAGUAAAUAGACAGUGUGUGAGGGAGGAAAGGCAGGUGAUGGAGAAGGGAUGCGCUCAGCCUGAAGAUGUAGGGGAGAAGAAAGAAAAGGAUAAUAAAUUUGAAUGCAUUGUUAAGGAUGAAAAGAGAGGAGGAGGUGGAGAGUAUCUUAAAUGUAUCUAUUUUAAUGCUAGGAGCAUUGUAAGAAAGGUGGAUGAGCUUAAAGCGUGGAUUGAUACCUGGUAUUAUGAUGUUGUAGCUAUUAGUGAAACAUGGUUGCAGGAAGGGUGUGAUUGGCAAGUAAAUAUUCCUGGAUUUAGUUGCUUCAGGUGUGAUAGAGUAGGAGGGGCCAGAGGAGGAGGUGUUGCAUUGCUUGUCCGAGAAAAUCUUAUGGCAGUGCUUUGGAAGGAUAGAUUAGAGAGCUCCUCUAGGGAGACUAUUUGGGUGGAAUUGAGGAAUGGGAAAGGUGUAGUAACACUGAUAGGAGUGUAUUAUAGGCCACAUAAUGGGGAGCGUGAGUUGGAAGAGCAAAUGUGUAAGGAGAUAGCAGAUAUUUGUAGUAAAAACAAGGUGGUGAUUGUGGGAGAUUUUAAUUUUCCACACGUAGAUUGGGAAGCUCAUUCUGUAAAAGGGCUGGAUGGUUUAGAGUUUGUGAAAUGUGUGCAGGAUAGUUUUUUGCAACAAUACAUAGAAGUACCGAUAAGAGAUGGGGCAGUGUUGGAUCUCCUGUUAGGGAAUGCGAUAGGUCAGCUGACAGAUGUAUGUGUUGGGGAGCACUUUGGGUCCAGUGAUCACAAUAGCAUUAGCUUCAAUAUAAUUAUGGAGAAGGACAGGACUGGACCUGGAGUUGAGAUUUUUGAUUGGAGAAAGGCAAACUUUGAGGAGAUGCGAAGGGAUUUAGAGAGAGUGGAUUGGGUCAAGUUGUUUUAUGGGAAGGAUGUAAUAGAGAAAUGGAGGUCAUUUAAGGGUGAAAUUAUGAGGGUACAGAAUCUUUAUGUUGCUGUUAGGUUGAAAGGAAAGGUUAAAGGUUUAAAAGCACCAUGGUUUUCAAGGGAUAUUAGAAACUUGGUUCGGAAAAAGAGGGAUGUCUACAAUAGAUAUAGGCAGCAUGGAGUAAAGGAAUUGCUCGAAGAAUAUAAAGAAUGUAAAAGGAAUCUUAAGAAAGAGAUUAGAAAAGCUAAGAGAAGAUACGAGGUUGGUUUGGCAAAUAAGGUGAAAGUAAAUCCGAAAGGUUUCUACAGUUAUAUUAAAAGCAAGAGGAUAGUGAGGGAUAAAAUUGGCCCCUUAGAGAAUCAGUGGUCAGCUAUGUGUGGAGCCGAGGGAGAUGGGAGAGAUUUUGAAUGAUUUCUUCUCUUCAGUAUUCACUAAGGAGAAGGAUAUUGAAUUGUGUAAGGUGUGGGAAACAAGUAAGGAAGUUAUGGAAUCUAUGACAAUUAAAGAGGUGGAAGUACUGGCGCUUUUAAGAAAUUUAAAAAUGGAUAAAUCUCUGGGUCCUGACAGGAUAUUUCCCAGGACCUUGAGGGAAGUUUGUGUAGAAAUAGCAGGAGCUCUGAUGGAGAUCUUUAAGAUGUCAUUAGAAACGGGGAUUGUGCCGGAGGAUUGGCGUAUUGCUCAUGUGGUUCCAUUGUUUAAAAAGGGUUCUAGAAGUAAGCCUAGCAAUUAUAGACCUGUCAGUUUGACAUCAGUGGUGGGUAAAUUAAUGGAAAGUAUUCUUAGAGAUAGUAUUAAUAAUUAUCUGGAUAGACAGGAACUGAUUAGGAGUAGCCAGCAUGGAUUUGUGCGUGGAAGGUCAUGUUUGACAAACCUUAUUGAAUUUUUUGAAGAAGUUACGAGGAAUGUUGACGAGGGUAAGGCAGUGGAUGUAGUCUAUAAAGACUUCAAGCAAAGCCUUUGACAAAGUUCCACAUGGAAGGUUAGUUAAGAAACUUCAGUCGUUAGGUAUUAAUGCUGGAGUAAUAAAAUAGAUUCAACAGUGGCUAGAUGGGAGAUGCCAGAGAGUAGUGGUGGAUAAUUGUUUAUCAGGAUGGAGGCCGGUGACUAGCGGGGUGCCUCAGGGAUCUGUUUUGGGCCCAAUGUUGUUUGUAAUAUACAUAAAUGAUCUGGAUGAUGGGGUGGUAAAUUGGAUUAGUAAGUAUGCCGAUGAUACUAAGGUAGGAGGUGUUGUGGAUAAUGAGAUGGGUUUUCAAAGCUUGCAGGGAGAUUUAUGCCGGUUAGAAGAAUGGGCUGAACGUUGGCAGAUGGAGUUUAAUGCUGAGAAGCGUGAGGUUCUACAUUUUGGCAGGAAUAAUCCAAAUAGAACAUACAGGGUAAAUGGUAGGGAAUUGAGGAAUGCAGAGGAACAGAGAGAUCUAGGAAUAACAGUGCAUAGUUCCCUGAAGGUGAAGUCUCAUGUAGAUAGGGUGGUGAAGAAGGCUUUUAGAACACUGGCCUUUAUAAAUCAAAGUAUUGAAUACAGAAGUUGGGAUGUAAUGUUAAAAUUGUACAAGGCAUUGGUAAGGCCAAAUUUGGAAUAUUGUGUACAGUUCUGGUCACCGAAUUAUAGGAAAGAUAUCAAUAAAUUAGAGUGCAGAGACGAUUUACUAGGAUGUUACCUGGGUUUCAGCACUAAGUUACAGAGAAAGGUUGAACAAGUUAUGUCUCUAUUCAUUGGAGCGUAGAAGGUUGAGGGGGGAUUUGAUCGAGAUAUUUAAAAUUUUGAGAGGGAUAGAUAGAGUUGAUGUGAAUAGGCUGUGUCCAUUGAGAGUAGGGGAGAUUCAAACGAGAGGACAUGAUUUGAGAGUUAGGGGGCAGAAGUUUAAGGGAAAUACGAGGGGGUAUUUCUUUACUCAGAGAGUGAUAGCUGUGUGGAAUGAGCUUCCUGUAGAAGUAGUAGGGGCCAGUUCAGUUGUGUCAUUUAAGGUAAAAUUGGAUAGGUAUAUGGACAGGAAAGGAGUGGAGGGUUAUGGGCUGAGUGCGGGUAGGUGGGACUAGGUGAGAUUAAGAGUUCGGCACGGACUAGGAGGGCCGAGAUGGCCUGUUUCCGUGCUGUGAUUGUUAAAUGGUUAUAUGGUUAUAAUGCCAUCCGCCAUUUUAAGUUGUUGCCGUUGACACUGUGUUGAGUGUUUAACUUUGUAUUUGGCUUAAAUUUUUCUUAGUAAAAUUUACCCUACCCCCCCACCCCAGUCUGGUCGGCUGAUAGUGCAGUCAGAUCAGCACCGGGCUAGAGAACGGAGGUUCCCGAGUUCAAUUUAGUGACAGAUCGCUCCCGUGCCGGGUUGAUGUCAAUCCAGUGACUCCCGUACCAUCCGUACCGGGUUGAUGUUGACCUCACAAUUCAACCUCGUUUAAAAAAAAACAUUGCUACCUCCAGUUUAAAUUCCCACGUGGAAUAUUGUGGAGGAUCAAAUACCCAAACCCAGCACAACCCCGACUUGUCCCAUUUAACCUGUCUCAGUGUGGCACAGUUCAGGACCUGGGGAAUUCAGUGUUGUGGUCCUUGGGACCCAGCGGACCUCAGGAGGUGGCGCAGGUAAGGACCUGCUGCCCGCAGUGUUUCUGUUCCAUUGGUGUGAAGCGAUCGCGAUUGAAAAUAAAAUGGAAAUAAUAAAGCGUUUGGAAAGAGGUGAAAUGCCAUUGGUCAUUGGAAAGGCAUUAGGCUACAGUCGGUCAACAAUCGGAACAAUUUUAAAGGAUAACGGGUAAAGUGAGAAUAAUGGAGCAUGUGAAAGUUCCUGCCCCGAUGAAAGCUACAAUUAUUACUAAGCAAUGUAAUGGUUUAAUUAUUGGAAUACAUGUUUCUUAAGUGUUUUAUAUGCAUAGAAAGGUAAAAUAUAUACUAUAUACUAAGACAAACAUUUGACUAACUGAUGCUAAAUAAUACCGGAUGUACUUGUUCCGACUUAAAGACGACUCCGGAACGGAACUCGUACAUAACCCGGGGACUGCCUGAACUUCCCCUUGACGUUUGACCUCCCACAGUUCAUUCUCUUACAUUUGUCUGGUUUAAACUCUUGUCAUUUCUCCACCUACAAAUCUGUUACAUUCUUUGACAACCUUUAUAGUCAACAACUCCUCCAAUUUUCCUUCAUUUAAUCUGCUAAUUACGUCCCUGAAGAACUCAAUAGAUUGUCCAAAGCUGAUUUCCUUAAGUCAGUGUUGACUCUGAGUCAUUUCUACCUUUUCUAGUUAACUUUAAUCUAUUCUUUAACAUCAAUUACAGCAUUUUCUCAGCUACCAGUAUCUGGUGAACGUGUGGUAGUUCUCCAUUAUCUCUGCCCUUUUGCUGUCCUCCAAUCUGCCAGUAAAACCAUAUUGUUAUUUAAAUGGUAAAAAUUGCAGCAUGCUGCUGUGCAGAGGGACUUUGGAGUGCUUGUGCAUGAAUCACAAAAGUUUGGUUUGCAGGUGCAGCAUGCUAUCAAGAAAGCAAAUGGAUAGUUGGCCUUCAUUGCUAAAGGGAUUGAAUUUAAGAGCAGGGAAGUUAUGCUGCAACUGUACAGGGUACUGGUGAGGCCACACCUGGAGAACUGCUUGCAAUUCUGAUCUCCUUACUUGAGGAGGUUCAGUAAAUAUAUUUAAGACAAGGUUAGAUAGAUUUUUGCAUUGUAGGGGAAUUAAGGGCUAUGGGGAAAAGGAAGGUAGGUGGAGAUGAGUCCUUGGCCAGAUAAUGGUGGAACAGGCUCGAUGGACCAGAUGGCCUACUCCUACUCUAUUUCUUAUGUUCUUAUAAGAACCAUUCUAGAAUAGGUGUUGUAUGAGGGUCUGGGAGGCUGUCAUAGUUUGGAAUGCUAUGUUCAAAAACUGAGAUUUAGGCCCGAUUUGUAACAAAUAUACAUUGCUUUUAAGGCUUAAAGACCAAACAGGAAAAAAAUUUCAACCAUGAUUUAGAGUAUUAAAUCUCAAGGAAAAAGCUUAUAAAAUGAUUGGAAGUCUCAGAAUUGGAUAACAGAUGAUCAAUAAUUUGAUAAAGGAAAAGGAUAUGGGAAUAAACUAGCAACAAACCAAAAACAGACUAAAAGUUCUGAUAGGGAUGUAUAAAGGAAAAGAUCAUCAAGGUGAAAUGUAGGUUCCUUAUGCAAAUGGAAAAUUUUUUAGCAGGGAUGUGUAAAUGGCAGAGGAAUUAAAUACAUUGUCUUCAGGUAAGACAUGAAAGUCCUGCCAGAACCGGGGUCCUGGAGAGCUGAUAGUGUAGUACAAAUGUGCAAGUGGUGCAGAAAUCUAACAUAAAAACAGAAAAUACUGAAACAUUCAGCAAGAUGAGGUAGCAUCUGCAGAGAGAGAUAUAGUUAAUGUUUCCAGUGUGACCAUUCUCAUGAGUCUCAGGCCUGGAGCAUCAACUAUAUUUCUCAUACGGAUAAGAAUGUCUGCAAUUGACAAUAUAAUUAAACACCACUUAUCCUAUUCAUUCCAUCUAGAGUUUGUGGAAAUGUGUAUCUGCACAGCUGGUUUGACAAGCAUAUUUGUUCUGUACCUAACCAGCCAGAUUGUAGUUUGCAUCCAAUUUGGUAAUUAAUGCAGUAAUGACACAGCUAGGAAAAAGUGUGUACUGACUUUUAAGUGAUAUCUACCUUCCACACUCUGUGUCACUCACUAACAUCUCUAUGUUACUGCCUCUGCCUUCACUGAUAUUCCAGUUACCUUACAUUGUCCGCCCUAAAUUAUACAGAAUGAUAUUGCAUAGGAAACCAUGUUUGAAAAGUGGAUCAGAAUCAGAUUUAUUAUCACCUGCAUGCGACAUGAAAUUUUUUAACAGUAGCAGCAGUUAAAUGCAAUACAUAAUAUAGAAGAAAAAAAUAAAUCAGUAUACAUUACGCAGCAUAUAUAUAUUGAAUAGAUUAAAAAUCGUGCAAAAAAACAGAAAUACUGUAUAUUUUUUAAAAAGUGAGGUAGUAUCCAAAGCUUCAAUGUCCACUUAGGAAUCGGGUGGCAGGGGGAAAGAAGCUGUUCCUGAAUCACUGAGUGUGUGCUUUCGGGCUUCUGUACCUCCUACCUCAUAGUAACAGUGAGAAAAGGGCAUGCCCUGGGUGCUGGAGGUCCUUAAUCAUGGACACUGCCUUUCUGAGACACCGCUCCCUGAAGAUGUCCUUUGUAGGUUUUUGUAGGUUUUUUUUUGUAGGUUUUUGUAAGUUAUUGCCCAAGAUGGAGCCGACUAAAUUUACAACCCUCUGCAGCUUUUGGUCCUGUGCAGUAGCGCCCCUCCCCUCACCCCCAUACCAGACAGUGAUACAGUCUGCUCCACGUUGUUCCAUCAUCCUCUGCCCAUUGCAUGCAAAUACUUCCCUGAAAUGUUCCCAUUUGCAGCAAACCAUUAAAUUUGCUUAAACACAUUUUUAAGGCACAUGUUCCAGGUAAUUCUAAGUGCACUUAAAAAUAUUAUCCCCUCAUGACAGUAGUGAAUCUUCUGAUAAUUCAGCACCUGUCAAGGCUCUUAGUAAACACCCUGUUACUGCCUGUGUCUCUACCAAAUCUUAACCUUUGAAUUUACAGCAGUGGAGACCAUUCAGCCCAUUGUACUUUUGCAUUCAAAAAUGGAGCAAUUCCCAUUAUUUAUACAUUCACUGUAUAACUUUUUCAGUUCUUCAUCUCAUCCAGGUACCUUUUAGAGUGACUCAGGACUUCUGCUUCCAUCAUAUUUUCAAAUGCUCCAACUUGCCUGAUGCCAAGGAGAACUGGAAAAUGAUAGGAGUUCGUCUCCUCCUUUGCACUGUCAUUCCAAAGAGGAUUUGGAUUACAUCUGCUACUUGUGCAGUUACUGCCCUGAACAUUUCUUUAUAUGAAGUGCUUGCUUCCUCACUCAGAAACUACUUCCUAACAAUAUCACUUAACCUUGUAAGAACAGAAGGAACUGGAAUUAUUUCAGUAGGUAUAUCAGUUAGACUCAGGGCAUUAUGUGUGUAGGAACAAGUACUAUGGUCGUAGCCUUUCUAUUGAAGGGUUUGGGAAUGCUCUGUACGAGUUCCUGCACAAUGGCAGGUACCUGCGAAAAGACUUGUUUGAUCC